AUGACCAUAGGUCAAGAGUUGGUUUCAUUGGAACAAUACAGAGAAUAUUAGCAUAGCCCCUGUGCAAGGAUGACAUGCAAAAAAAAAAAAAAAUAGAGUUCAUU
rfam:Canis lupus familiaris chromosome 21, whole genome shotgun sequence.